AAGUCGUAACAAGGUUUCCGUAGGUGAACCUGCGGAAGGAUCAUUAAUGAAUUCUAUUCAUUUACGUAUGUGAACUUGCUGAAGCAUGUGUUUGGCGAUAGACCGGCGGAAAUUUAAAGUAUCAAAGCUUUGAUAACCCCGAUCUGUUGCGACACUCUAUAAUGGGUAUCUGUGAUACAAAUUUGGAGUGCCUGGCAUGGCCGAUUGUCGAAGACGAAAGUUGAGAUGACUGGUCAUUGCCACGACUAUGUUUGAGCCUUACCGCUGGCGGACUUUGAGCCGUCAGCCAUUUUAACCACCCUACUUCUUUGACUAAUACUGAAAUAAUUUCAAGUUUAUGACAACUUUUAGCAAUGGAUCUCUAGGCUCUC
rnacentral:misc_RNA from 1 species